UACGUAGGCAGCGAGCGUUGUUCGGAGUUACUGGGCGUAAAGGGUGCGUAGGCGGUUUUGUAAGUCUUGUGUGAAAUCUUCAGGCUCAACUUGAAGACUGCACGAGAAACUGCAGGGCUUGAGUGUGGGAGAGGUGAGUGGAAUUCCUGGUGUAGCGGUGAAAUGCGUAGAUAUCAGGAGGAACACCUGUGGCGAAAGCGGCUCACUGGACCACAACUGACGCUGAUGCACGAAAGCUAGGGGAGCAAACAGG
rnacentral:rRNA from 1 species